rnacentral:piRNA from 1 species
UUGGAUCACCGUGUUCUCUUCUAGAGUCAA